UCCUCUAUCCUUCUUCAAUACGUAUUUUCUUAAUUCAUUUUUCCAUCCAAAAUUUAAGAAUCGGUUUCAAAUAGUCGUCUUUGUAAAACAUCAUUUGUUUUGCUCUAUCAUUUAUUUGAAAAGUUUUUUUUUUCCUGAAGGAAUGUUGUCUAUUUGAUUUUUGCCUCUUUUUUCUUUCCAAAAUGUGAUUUCUAUUAAACGAAGCUUGUUUGCAAGAUUUACAAAAGGUAAUUUCUAACUGGUAUUAACCUUGGCAAAAAUAAAUAUAACAAGGUUAGAAUCAGACCCAAAAAACUCUGAUAUCUGAAAAAGAGUUAUUCAUUCCGAAACCAGGACUGCAUCAAGUGUUGGAAUGACCUUGUCUUCCUUUUGGCCAGGAUCAUGUCUCUGAGACUUUGACUAUACGAUCGAUACACUUGAAAAUUGCAGGCGGUGGUUUUUAUAGAUAUAUAUAUAUAUAUAUAUGAUAGUGAAGCCUUCAGCAAAGUAUGAAAAGGUUUUAGACCAAAAAAAUGUAUGAAAAUGUAUGACUUUUCUUUUAAAUUAAACAGGCGUGACUUUUCAUUUUCUUCUUUGCUAUAACUACUGUUAAAUAAAGUAGUAAUAAUAAAAUUAGUAAUAAACGUAGAAGGAUGGCCCUUUUCCUAACCUAAAUUGCAUAUAUUCUAAUGAUGGUUCUUUUUUCAUUUCCUUAUUUAGUUAUUUAGUUAUUUAUAAUUAUUAUAGUUUUUAAAACAACAAUAUGCCAACACUGGUUAUUAGAUUUCGUCUAUUAUCUUACUAUGGAUCAAAUAAAAUAUACUCCCUCUGUUUCAUAUUAAUUGUUACUUUAACAUUUUUUUUCUUGUUACAAAAAGAGUGUCAUUUUAGAAUUCUAAUGCAGCUUUCAGCUUAAGAUUAAUUACAAAUGCAUUGAUUUUAUAAAUAAUUUCAUUUAUCUCAAUACUAUUGGUUGAGUAUGUGUAAUUAAUAAGUGACAUUUUUUUAUGAAACGGAAGGAGUAUAAGUUUCUUUACAGUUUGUUAUUAGUAUAAAUAGUUAAAUAAAUUUACCAUUACUAACUCCCACUGAAUAUUUUAUGAUUAAAUAAGAUACAAAUUCAAAAAUUAUUUGUAUUUUAAGAAUGGAAAGAGAUAUUUUUAGAAUGAUAAAACACAACUUUAAAAUUUUUUUAAAAUACUAAGAAGCAUUGAAUUUCUUUUUAUGAAAAAACACAACGUGAAGCAAGUAUACACAUCCCUAACCUCAUCAUACCUUAUGCCAAUGAAGAAAUAACAAUAUGUGUAAAGGUUGUGUGUAUUCACGUUGAAAGACAUUUGCUAACACUGGUUAUUAGUUUAGGUCUAUUAUCUUAUUAAUGACCAAAUCAAAUAUAAGAACACAAAGAUAUAAGUUUCUAAAUAGUUGUUAAAAAAAGAUAUAAGUUUCUCUACAUUUAGUUAUUAAUAUUAAUUAACAAAUUAACAAAUUUAACUAAUUCUUUAUCUUGGUUAAAUUUAAUACACAUUCUCUAUUUCAUUUUUGAAUGAAAAGACACCUUUUAGAAUUAUAAGAAAGUUUAAAUUUUUUAAGAAUUAUUGUAUUUUUAAAAACAAGAAAACACAACCUUAAACCGAAAGACACAUCCCUAAACUUUUGACAACUUUAUACUAAUGAAGACAAAUAUUUUAAAAAUUAAUUCUAAGAACCCAACAACAACGCCAAAUGAAUAAAGGUAUUGCAUAUUUCCUCAUAUUUAUAUAUUUAAUCACUGUAUUUUAAAAAUGAAUAAAUUAAGAAAAGGUGAAGGGUUACAAUUAAAAAUUCCAAAAUAGUUUCCAACACUAACAGACACAAUCGUUCAUGACUUUUUGCCCUUAUAAAAAAGAGAAAAGGACCACUACUUUUUUUUUUUAAAGACAUGGAUAUGAAAGGAAUCAAACUCCCAACAUACAAAUUUCUGGAAAAUUUCAAGAUGAAAUGUGGAGAACAAGGAAUUAGAGGAAGAGGAACUCGACUAUGAGAAGUAAGAAAUCUUUAAAAUGGUUAUGAAAUUAUAAGUCUUUUUUUUUAUGAUACUGGUAUCCGGAGCUUCGAGAAAAUUCGAGUAGCCCCAAUGACCGUCCACCGGAGCUUAGCUGGGGAGCCCGCCGAGACAUCUAGGAGUUAAUAAUGUUUUCAAUAUAUUCACUGAAAAUUUAAUGUUUUCAAUAUAUUCACUGAAAAUACAUAUAAUUAAAAUAAUAAUAUCAAUAGUUUUCUGAUAUAGGAAUCAACCAUUAUGGGACCAAUCUAUAAUCGAUAUAUUCAUCAAUUUUCUUUGGAGUUUUUAGAGGUGGAAAAAAAAAAAA